UACGGAGGAUCCGAGCGUUAUCCGGAUUUAUUGGGUUUAAAGGGAGCGUAGGUGGAUUGUUAAGUCAGUUGUGAAAGUUUGCGGCUCAACCGUAAAAUUGCAGUUGAAACUGGCAGUCUUGAGUACAGUAGAGGUGGGCGGAAUUCGUGGUGUAGCGGUGAAAUGCUUAGAUAUCACGAAGAACUCCGAUUGCGAAGGCAGCUCACUGGACUGCAACUGACACUGAUGCUCGAAAGUGUGGGUAUCAAACAGG
rnacentral:rRNA from 1 species